CCCUUAGAUGUUCUGGGCCGCACGCGCGCUACACUGACAGAGCCAACGAGUCAAUCACCUUGGCCGGAAGGUCUGGGUAAUCUUGUUAAACUCUGUCGUGCUGGGGAUAGAGCAUUGCAAUUAUUGCUCUUCAACGAGGAAUGCCUAGUAAGCGCAUGUCAUCAGCAUGCGUUGAUUACGUCCCUGCCCUUUGUACACACCGCCCGUCGCUACUACCGAUUGAAUGGCUCGGUGAGGCCUUCGGACUGGCCCAGGGAGGUCGGCAACGACCACCCAGGGCCGGAAAGUUCGUCAAACCUGGUCAUUUAGAGGAAGUAAAAGUCGUAACA
rnacentral:rRNA from 1 species